AUACGUAGGGGGCGAGCGUUGUCCGGAAUUACUGGGCGUAAAGGGUGCGUAGGUGGCACUUUAAGUUGGAUGUGAAAUCCCCGUGCUUAACAUGGGAGCUGCAUCCAAUACUGGAGAGCUAGAGUGCAGGAGAGGUAAGCGGAAUUCCUAGUGUAGCGGUGAAAUGCGUAGAUAUUAGGAGGAACACCAGUGGCGAAGGCGGCUUACUGGACUGUAACUGACACUGAGGCACGAAAGCGUGGGGAGCAAACAGGAUUAGAUACCCUGGUAGUCCACGCUGUAAACGAUGAAUACUAGGUGUAGGGGGUAUCACCUCCCUCUGUGCCGCGGCAAACGCAAUAAGUAUUCCGCCUGGGGAGUACGGCCGCAAGGUUGAGACUCAAAUGAAUUGACGGGG
rnacentral:rRNA from 1 species